rnacentral:rRNA from 1 species
UGGGGAAUUUUGGACAAUGGGGGAAACCCUGAUCCAGCCAUCCCGCGUGUGCGAUGAAGGCCUUCGGGUUUAAAGCACUUUUGGCAGGAAAGAAACGUCAUGGGUUAAUACCCCGUGAAACUGACGGUACCUGCAGAAUAAGCACCGGCUAACUACGUGCCAGCAGCCGCGGUAAUACGUAGGGUGCAAGCGUUAAUCGGAAUUACUGGGCGUAAAGCGUGCGCAGGCGGUUCGGAAAGAAAGAUGUGAAAUCCCAGAGCUCAACUUUGGAACUGCAUUUUUAACUACCGGGCUAGAGUGUGUCAGAGGGAGGUGGAAUUCCGCGUGUAGCAGUGAAAUGCGUAGAUAUGCGGAGGAACACCGAUGGCGAAGGCAGCCUCCUGGGAUAACACUGACGCUCAUGCACGAAAGCGUGGGGAGCAAACAGG